rnacentral:rRNA from 1 species
GACGAACGCUGGCGGCGUGCUUAACACAUGCAAGUCGAACGGAAAGGCCCUGCUUUUGUGGGGUGCUCGAGUGGCGAACGGGUGAGUAACACGUGAGUAACCUGCCCUUGACUUUGGGAUAACUUCAGGAAACUGGGGCUAAUACCGGAUAGGAGCUCCUGCUGCAUGGUGGGGGUUGGAAAUUUUCGGCGGGUGGGGAUGGACUCGCGGCUUAUCAGCUUGUUGGUGGGGUAGUGGCUUACCAAGGCUUUGACGGGUAGCCGGCCUGAGAGGGUGACCGGCCACAUUGGGACUGAGAUACGGCCCAGACUCCUACGGGAGGCAGCAGUGGGGAAUAUUGCACAAUGGGCGGAAGCCUGAUGCAGAAACGCCGCGUGCGGGAUGACGGCCUUCGGGUUGUAAACCGCUUUCGCCUGUGACGAAGCGUGAGUGACGGUAAUGGGUAAAGAAGCACCGGCUAACUACGUG